rnacentral:rRNA from 1 species
AGAGUUUGAUCCUGGCUCAGGAUGAACGCUGGCGGCGUGCCUAACACAUGCAAGUCGAACGGAGUGGAGGAGCUUGCUCCAAAACUUAGUGGCGGACGGGUGAGUAACGCGUGGGUAACCUGCCCUUAAGUGGGGGAUAACAGUUGGAAACGACUGCUAAUACCGCAUAAAGUUAAGAGUUCACAUGGACUUUUAACCAAAGGAGAGAUCCGCUUUUGGAUGGACCCGCGUCUGAUUAGCUAGUUGGUGAGGUAACGGCUCACCAAGGCUGCGAUCAGUAGCCGGCCUGAGAGGGUGAACGGCCACACUGGGACUGAGUCACGGCCCAGACUCCUACGGGAGGCAGCAGUGGGGAAUCUUCCGCAAUGGACGAAAGUCUGACGGAGCAACGCCGCGUGAGGGAUGAAGGCCUUCGGGUUGUAAACCUCUGUCUUCAGGGAAGAAAAAAAUGACGGUACCUGAGGAGGAAGCCCCGGCUAACUACGUGCCAGCAGCCGCGGUAAUACGUAGGGGGCGAGCGUUAUCCGGAAUCAUUGGGCGUAAAGGGCGCGUAGGCGGAUAUUUAAGUCAGGUGUGAAAACCCAGGGCUCAACCUUGGGACUGCAUCUGAUACUGGGUAUCUUGAGGACAGGAGAGGAAAGUGGAAUUCCUAGUGUAGCGGUGAAAUGCGUAGAUAUUAGGAGGAACACCAGUGGCGAAGGCGACUUUCUGGACUGUAACUGACGCUGAGGCGCGAAAGCGUGGGGAGCAAACAGGAUUAGAUACCCUGGUAGUCCACGCCGUAAACGAUGAGUGCUAGGUGUAGGGGGGUAUCGACCCCUCCUGUGCCGCAGUUAACACAAUAAGCACUCCGCCUGGGGAGUACGGGCCGCAAGGGUUGAAACUCAAAGGGAAUUGACG